CUGUUAUCCCUACGGUAACUUGUUUUAAAUCCUUUUUAGGGUUGAUUUUUUUUUAAGUAAAAAAGAUUUGGUUUUUUUACCUCCCCAGUUAAAAAUAAUUUUAAAGUUCGAUAGGGUCUUGUCGUCUUCUCUUAGAAUUUAAGUCUUUUUACUCAAAUGAAAAUUUGAAGAAGUCGUUAUAAUAAAGAACUCAACUCGUUAGUCCUUUCAUUCUAGCCUUAAAUUAAAAGGCAAGUGAUUAUGCUACCUUAGCACGUUAGUUGCGGCUAUUUAAAUAUCAUUGAGCAGAAAAUACUAAUUA
rnacentral:rRNA from 1 species